GACGAACGCUGGCGGCGCGCUUAACACAUGCAAGUCGAACGGAAAGGCCCUGCUUUUGUGGGGUGCUCGAGUGGCGAACGGGUGAGUAACACGUGAGUAACCUGCCCUUGACUUUGGGAUAACUUCAGGAAACUGGGGCUAAUACCGGAUAGGAGCUCCUGCUGCAUGGUGGGGGUUGGAAAGUUUCGGCGGUUGGGGAUGGACUCGCGGCUUAUCAGCUUGUUGGUGGGGUAGUGGCUUACCAAGGCUUUGACGGGUAGCCGGCCUGAGAGGGUGACCGGCCACAUUGGGACUGAGAUACGGCCAGACUCCUACGGGAGGCAGCAGUGGGGAAUAUUGCACAAUGGGCGGAAGCCUGAUGCAGCAACGCCGCGUGCGGGAUGACGGCCUUCGGGUUGUAAACCGCUUUCGCCUGUGACGAAGCGUGAGUGACGGUAAUGGGUAAAGAAGCACCGGCUAACUACGUG
rnacentral:rRNA from 1 species